rnacentral:ncRNA from 1 species
GGGACUCUGGAGAAGCUCAAUUUUGAGUGCCGAAGGUGCAAGGCAGAAAUGCCGAAUCUCUCAGGCAAAAGGACAGAGAA